rnacentral:lncRNA from 1 species
GAAAUACUCACUGUUUGCAGAUGAGCUGAUGAGCUGACCUUACAUAUAGAAAACUCCAAAGACUUCACCAAAUACUAUUAGUGGUGAUAGAUGAAUUUAGCAAAGUUGCAGAAUACAAAAAAAUAAAAUUAUUAGAGUUGUUAUAUACCAAUAGCAAAUAAUCUGAAAUAGAAAUCAAGCAAACAAUACUAUUUACAGUAACUGCAAAAUAUACAAUAGCUUGGAAUGAAUUUAAACAAAGAGGUAAAAUAUCUCUACAGUGAAAGCUAUAAAGUACUGAGGAAAGAAAUUAAAAACUACACACACACACACACACACAUACCACACACACACACACACACAAAUCAUAGGAGAAGAUCACCAUGUUUAUGUUUUGGAAGAUCCAACAUUGUUCAAAUGUCUAUUCCACCCAACAAGAUCCGCAGAUUCAAUGUAAUCCCUAUCAAAACAUCAAGGGCGUUCUUCACAGAAAUAGAAAAGAUAGUUCUAUAAUUUCCAGGGAACCACAAAAUUGCUGAAGAGUCAAAGCUAUCUUGCAGGAAAAGAACAAAGCAAGAGGAGUUACAUGAACUGACUUCAAAAUACACAACCAAGCUGGAGUAAUCAAACAGCAUGGUGCUGGGUUACAAACAGAAGCAUGGAGCAAUGGAACAGAACAGAGAGCAUAGAAUUUGACCCACACACCUACAGCAGCCUAUUAUUGAAAAAGGUGAUAAGAAUGUGCAGUAGAAAAUUGACAGUAUUUUCUAUAUAUGGUGUUGGAAAAACAGGGGAGGGAAUCCACAAGAAAAAGAAUAAAACUAGACCCCUGUAGCUCUUCACUUAGAAAAAUCAACUUAAAGUGUAUUAAAUGGGCUGGGGGUGAAGCUCAGGGGUAAAAUGCUUGUUUACCAUGCAGGAGACCAUGGAAUCAACCCCCAGUACUUGAAAAAACAAAUAAACCAAAAAACUGAAGACUUAAAUGUAAGUUUUGAAGCUAUGAAGGUACUACAAGAAUAUGUAGUGAAAAUGUUUCAGGACAUUGGAAUGGGAAAAGAUAUUUUGGACAAGUCUCUAAAAGCACAGAACACAAAAUCAAAAACAGACAAAUAGAAGAGUAAAAUUAAAAAAUCCUCUGCACAUCAAAGGCAACAAUUUGGGGAGUGGAGAGAAUCUACAGAAUGUCAGAAAAUAUUUGCAUAUUGUACAUCAGAUAAUAGGUUGAUAUCCAGAAUGCAUACGGAACUCAAAGAACUUAAUACUUAGAAAACAAAUAGGCUGAUUAGAAAAUGGAGAAAAAUCUGAAAAGACAUUUCUCAAAAGAGACAAGUAAAAUGGCCAAUAGGCAUACAAAAAAGUACUCAGUAUCACCAGUCAUCACUGAAAUGCAAAUCACAACCACAAGAAGACAUUAUCUCACUCCAGUAAGAAUGGUUGUUAACAGUAAUACAAAAGGAAAUAAGUGCCUGCAAGAGAAUCCUGCAUAUUGUUAGCUGGAUGUAGAUUCAUAGUGGGGGAGAGGUAGGGGUGGCUUAGGCAACCAGGGCAAGAUGGCAAGUGAGGAGGUUGGGCAGGGUCAGAACAAAGGAGCAUGGGGAGGGUCUUCUGAUGAGGUCAACUUCCUGCUUGACCUAAGUGCUUGUGGACACAAACAGGAGACCCAGUCAGACAGACACUUCCAUACUAGUGCUCCCAAGCAAGAGAUCCAAUAGGAAAACUAUAACAAAUGCAUGGACAGAGGGGGCACCAUUCAAUAAUAGUGAGGAGAGCAUGAACAGGGGAGCAGAUAAGGAAAGGAGGAAUUCCAGAGACCAUCAAAAGAACAGGCCCAAACUCCCCCACCAGAUUCCCGGGUCUGAGGCCCUUUUUCUCAGAGAAGUCUUUUCUCUAUCUUUUUCACAUUUGCAAUAAACCUACUUCUUACUUUCUAUCUUGGUGUCUUGUUCUUAG